AUUGAACGCUGGCGGCAGGCCUAACACAUGCAAGUCGAGCGGAUGAAGGGAGCUUGCUCCUGGAUUCAGCGGCGGACGGGUGAGUAAUGCCUAGGAAUCUGCCUGGUAGUGGGGGAUAACGUCCGGAAACGGGCGCUAAUACCGCAUACGUCCUGAGGGAGAAAGUGGGGGAUCUUCGGACCUCACGCUAUCAGAUGAGCCUAGGUCGGAUUAGCUAGUUGGUGGGGUAAAGGCCUACCAAGGCGACGAUCCGUAACUGGUCUGAGAGGAUGAUCAGUCACACUGGAACUGAGACACGGUCCAGGCUCCUACGGGAGGCAGCAGUGGGGAAUAUUGGACAAUGGGCGAAAGCCUGAUCCAGCCAUGCCGCGUGUGUGAAGAAGGUCCUCGGAUUGUAAAGCACUUUAAGUUGGGAGGAAGGGCAGUAAGUUAAUACCUUGCUGUUUUGACGUUACCAACAGAAUAAGCACCGGCUAACUUCGUG
rnacentral:rRNA from 1 species